rnacentral:lncRNA from 1 species
UGCAGAUAGGUGUUGGGAUGGUGGUUGUACUGACGGGUGGUGCUCAUAGGUGUUGGGAUGCGGUUGUACUGACGGGUGGUGGAGAUAGGUGUUGGGUGCUGGUUGUUCUGACGUGGUGCAGAUAGGUGUUGGGAUGCUGGUUGUACUGACGGGUGGUGCAGAUAGGUGUUGGGAUGCUGGUUGUGUACUGAGGGUGGUGCAGAUGGUGUUGGGAUGCUGGUUGUACUGAUGGGUGUUGGGGUGCUGGUUGUACUGAUGGGUGGUGCAGAUAGGUGUUGGGAUGCUGGUUGUACUGAUGGGUGUUGGGAUGCUGGUUGUACUGACGGGUGGUGCAGAUAGGUGUUGGGAUGCUGGUUGUACUGAUGGGGUUGGGGUGCUGGUUGUACUGAGGGUGGUGCAGAU